AAAGCCUGACCCAGCGACGCCGCGUGGAGGAAGAAGGCCUUCGGGUCGUAAACUCCUGUUUGGGGAGAAGAACAAGAGAGAAGUUAAUAGCUUCUCUCUCUGACGGUAUCCCCGGAGAAAGCUCCGGCUAAUUACGUGCCAGCAGCCGCGGUAAUACGUAAGGAGCGAGCGUUGUCCGGAUUUACUGGGCGUAAAGGGCUCGUAGGUGGCCUUUUAAGUCAGAUGUGAAAGAUCAAGGCUUAACCUUGGUAAGCAUUUGAAACUGUGUGGCUUGAGUUAAGGAGAGGAAAGUGGAAUUCCUAGUGUAGCGGUGAAAUGCGUAGAUAUUAGGAGGAAUACCAGUGGCGAAGGCGACUUUCUGGACUUAUACUGACACUGAGGAACGAAAGCAUGGGGAGCAAACA
rnacentral:rRNA from 2 species